CCACUUCUAUUAUUAUAUUUUGAAGAUUGUGGACUACCAACCUUUAAACAAAAAAUCUUAUUUUUUAACACUGAUCUUUUUCUUAAAGAGAGUAGAUUAUCCUUCUUUGUGGGAUUUAUUUUUAGAGGUUGCAGAUAACCUUCCUCUUAUUUAACUUUUGAAUUCGCUUGAGUUGUCUAUGGAAGGAAAGAUUAUAGAUGCUACUCUCAAUAGAAG
rnacentral:lncRNA from 1 species